UCGGGAAUUUUGGGCAAUGGGGGAAACCCUGACCCAGCAACGCCGCGUGAAGGAUGAAGUAUUUCGGUAUGUAAACUUCGAAAGAAUAGGAAGAAUAAAUGACGGUACUAUUUAUAAGGUCCGGCUAACUACGUGCCAGCAGCCGCGGUAAUACGUAGGGACCAAGCGUUGUUCGGAUUUACUGGGCGUAAAGGGCGCGUAGGCGGUGUGUCAAGUCAGUUGUGAAAUCUCCGAGCUUAACUCGGAACGGUCAACUGAUACUGUCACACUAGAGUACAGAAGGGGCAAUCGGAAUUCUUGGUGUAGCGGUGAAAUGCGUAGAUAUCAAGAGGAACACCUGAGGCGAAGGCGGGUUGCUGGGCUGAUACUGACGCUGAGGCGCGAAAGCUAGGGUAGCAAACGGGAUUAGAUACCCAAGUAGUCCCUGAGCGGGCUGGCAAGGCGCAU
rnacentral:rRNA from 1 species